GGCAAAUAGGUAUUAACGACGUACCGCGACGUCACCGAUUUUAUUGUUUUUGAUUGUUACGCACUGUGUUUUCAACAGAAGUAUUGUUUUAACCAAAAAAUACAAAGAGGCAUUUUUGUUGUAUAUUGGAUCUUUAUUGGAUUAGGAAAUAAGCCAUUUUUUGAUUUUUUUAAAACAGUUUUCACAAUAAUGGGGAAACCCCAGAAAAAACGUAAAACCUAACCUAACGAACAAUUUUACAAUUUUUGUUAUGAUUUCAUUAUUUAAAAUAUGUAUACUUUAUGAGUGAUAUGAAAGAAUUUGUCAUCGCCAGCCUACUCGUAGUAAAUCCAUUAAUCAGGCCCUAGGCCUUACAAACCAUGUACAAACGAACUUCGUUUAGAACAAUUUUUCGUUAGAAAUGGUUUAUCUUUGCUUACAGAUACGAAUUAAAUUAUGCUAUAUAUCCUGCUUUCCAACUUUGCACCUACAAAAAUGACGUGCCCAUCAGCAGUAUUAGUUUUUUUUUUUUUUUUUUUUUCAUGUACAGAUACGUCAUAAUCUUAUAUUAUACGAACGUAAAAUGUAGAUUUUAAACACGAUUAUUUUUUUCUUUUUCGUUUAUUU